GUCUACAGCCAUGCCACCCUGAACAAGCCUGAUCCCAUCUGAUCUUGGAAGCUAAGCAGGGUCGGGCCUGGUUAGUACUUGGAUGGGAGACCACCUCGGAAGACCAGGAGCUGUAGACA
rnacentral:rRNA from 1 species